CAUACAUGGUAAUUAUGACCACUUCCGGAGGACGUCAUCCUUGCCUACUUUUUUGGAAAGUCUGAGCCUUGGGCGAAAGAGGUGUACAGUUACCUGAAGAACAUCAAUCGUUCAGCUAAACGGCAAAACAAAAACAGGGAGCAUAUACAUGCCCACAUCAGAUUCAAGCUUCUGGGAAAAAGCUGCAUCGAUCAUGACGAAGGUCCGCGUAGUUGAACUGCGCAACAAAACGAGAAAGUAAAAAGCAACAGGGAUGGUCUCAAGCGGCUUAUCAACACCACUGCGUUUUUGGGCAUGCAAGAAAUGGGCUUUCAGAGGACAUGACGAGAGGGAGAGUUCCGCUAACAAGGGCAACUACAAGGAGCUUGCUGCGCCAAGUCCCCUCCUGUUCCCUGAUUUAAGAGGUGAUGACCACUCCACUCCACUACUUUUGUCAACUUUCUCCUGACAUGAACUGAAGCCACGCUCAUCCACUGGAACAUUGAAUGUUUCCUCUCUAGGCACUUCAAACCAUGUACAGCACUAAAGUCAAGCCUCUGAACACCUCAACUCUUGCCUCGUACCCUCUUUCAAUCACUACUGUGAUCCUUUCCCAACAAUGUGUAAGAACCCCUCUCAUUCCUCAUAAUAUUGUACUAUAAAUGUCUUUAUUAAAUGCUUUGGGUUAAAAUAA